rnacentral:lncRNA from 1 species
CCGUCACCAAGUUCUUUCUUGGAAGGGUUUGGGCAGUACAUCUCUACAUCUACCACUGGGCGCUCCUGUGCCAUCUGGAUCCACUUCUCCAUAAAUAUUUGGAAAGAUCCUCUUUCAGAAUUCUUCUGGGAUUUUCUUCCUGAUGGAAAAUGGGUUGGUGGGACAAACUACAGCACCUGCUGUGGCACUUGGAUUUCAGGGUCACAAUAGCUACUCAUUGCCUCAGAGGCUAACCUGGUAUCACAAUCCAGAUCUCAAAGGGCCUGAGUGCCUGGUCACUACGCUCUUCUAAGUCUGUAUUUGCUGCACCUGUCUACUUAAAGUCACCAAUGGGAAAGGGAAUAAUAUGAGGCACCAAGUAGAUCACUUUGGUUCCAUUCAUAUUUCUAUCUCCAUUGUAAGUAGCAGCCCAUCUCCUGCUGAUCAGGAUCAGUCAUUCCUAUUAAGACAGUGACUACUCUUCUUGCCUGCUGGUUCAUAGACAAAAGAAACCCAAAGAACCCAGGCAUCAGCUAAGGGUUAUAAUUCCACUGGACUCAGGCUGUGUCAUGCCCCCAUAGGGGACUAGAAUCCCUAACCCCGCUGGUCAGGAGUUGUAAGGAUAGGGAGCAUACAAGUCCCUCAGUGGGUCAUUAGGAGUGACAGUAAAUGGAAAUACCAUCUACUGCUUGGCUCUUGGACUCACAGUCUUCCUGCUAGAGACACAGUGCACAUAUGGCAUUGUGGAGGACGGUCCCUUAACUGUACCUUCCAGCUGUGCCUUGAGCAGGUCACCCCAGCUCCCUACUAGGCCCAGAUUUCUGGGUGGUACAGGCUGGAAUGGGCAUAAGGGCCCAGUAUGGGGGACUCUAAGAACCUAGUCCUGAUAUAGCUAAAAUCCAGAAAUAAGGGGGUAGACAGGAAAGCAAAUUUUUCAAUUAAGAAAUUGGUUUAACCAAAUAAGUUGUUUAAGUAGUAAAUUAUCACAAGAAACAAAUGUGACAAAGAAGUGUGGAAAAAUUUGGACAGCAAACACAAAAGAGAGUGGGAAAGAGAGAGCACGUUAUGCUUUGGUAAUAACUGGCCUUGUUCCAGCGCCCCCCACCCCCCGCCCUCCAGGCCACAGUGCUCUGUCUGUAUUCCUGUUUGGCCCGUCCCCAUUCCAACUUAUGCCCCUGGGGAGUACCUUCCCAAAAUUUUAUCCACUCUCUGGGGGUAGACAGAGGUCUCCCUUCUGGGUGUGAAUCUCUUCUGCUUCAGUUCUCAGUUCCUCAGGAAGGAGUUUCCUGCAGAGUGUUCCUUGGCCAGCCCUUGGUUCUCUUUCCUAAGGGGCUCAUCCCCUACAGUUCUAACUCCCCUGCUUUCCCCGGCCAUAGGCCAACUAUUAUGUGCAGUCAGCAAACUCCUGCCAUGACAUGCAACCCUUUCUUUUGAACACGUUGGAAUUGCUGUGCUUCUAUUGAGGUGAUAAUUAUUAUAUUUUUGAAG